rnacentral:rRNA from 1 species
UAGCCUUGACAUAUUAUAGAAUUCAGUAAAGAUACAGAAGUGCCUUCGGGAGCUGUAAUACAGGUGCUGCACGGCUGUCGUCAGCUCGUGUCGUGAGAUGUUGGGUUAAGUCCCGCAACGAGCGCAACCCUCGUCACUAGUUACUAACGGUUAGGCCGAGGACUCUAGUGAGACUGCCUUCGUAAGGAGGAGGAAGGUGAGGACGACGUCAAGUCAUCAUGGCCCUUACGGCUAGGGCAACACACGUGCUACAAUGGUUAGGACAAUGAGAAGCAAUAUCGCGAGGUGGAGCAAAUCUAUAAACCUAAUCUCAGUUCGGAUUGUAGUCUGCAACUCGACUACAUGAAGCUGGAAUCACUAGUAAUCGUAGAUCAGCUAUGCUACGGUGAAUACGUUCCCGGGUCU